rnacentral:rRNA from 1 species
GAUCAGGCUGUUGGUGAGGUAAUGGCCCACCAAACCUGUAACCGGUACGGGCUCUGAGAGGAGGAGCCCGGAGAUGGGCACUGAGACAAGGGCCCAGGCCCUAUGGGGCGCAGCAGGCGCGAAACCUCUGCAAUAGGCGAAAGCUUGACAGGGUUACUCUGAGUGAUUUCCGUUAAGGAGAUCUUUUGGCACCUCUAAAAAUGGUGCAGAAUAAGGGGUGGGCAAGUCUGGUGUCAGCCGCCGCGGUAAUACCAGCACCCCGAGUGGUCGGGACGUUUAUUGGGCCUAAAGCAUCCGUAGCCGGUUCUACAAGUCUUCCGUUAAAUCCACCUGCUUAACAGAUGGGCUGCGGAAGAUACUAUAGAGCUAGGAGGCGGGAGAGGCAAGCGGUACUCGAUGGGUAGGGGUAAAAUCCGUUGAUCCAUUGAAGACCACCAGUGGCGAAGGCGGCUUGCCAGAACGCGCUCGACGGUGAGGGAUGAAAGCUGGGGGAGCAAACCGGAUUAGAUACCCGGGUAGUCCCAGCUGUAAACGAUGCAGACUCGGUGAU